rnacentral:rRNA from 1 species
GUGCCAGCCGCCGCGGUAAUACGGAGGGUGCAAGCGUUGUUCGGAAUUAUUGGGCGUAAAGCGCGUGUAGGCGGUCUGUUAAGUCUGAUGUGAAAGCCCGGGGCUCAACCCCGGAAGUGCAUUGGAAACUGGCCGACUUGAGUACGGGAGAGGGUAGUGGAAUUUCAAGUGUAGGGGUGAAAUCCGUAGAUAUUCGGAGGAACACCAGUGGCGAGGGCGGCUCACUGGCUCGAUACUGACGCUGAGGUGCGAAAGUGUGGGGAGCAAACAGGAUUAGAUACCCUGGUAGUCCACACCGUAA